UACGGGGGGGGCAAGCGUUGUUCGGAAUUACUGGGCGUAAAGGGCUCGUAGGCGGCCAACUAAGUCAGACGUGAAAUCCCUCGGCUUAACCGGGGAGCUGCGUCUGAUACUGGAUGGCUAGAGGUUGGGAGAGGGAUGCGGAAUUCCAGGUGUAGCGGUGAAAUGCGUAGAUAUCUGGAGGAACACCGGUGGCGAAGGCGGCAUCCUGGACCAAUUCUGACGCUGAGGAGCGAAAGCCAGGGGAGCAAACGGG
rnacentral:rRNA from 1 species